CCUACGGGCGGCUGCAGUGGGGAAUAUUGCACAAUGGGCGCAAGCCUGAUGCAGCCAUGCCGCGUGUGUGAAGAAGGCCUUCGGGUUGUAAAGCACUUUCAGCGGGGAGGAAGGCGUUAAGGUUAAUAACCUUGUCGAUUGACGUUACCCGCAGAAGAAGCACCGGCUAACUCCGUGCCAGCAGCCGCGGUAAUACGGAGGGUGCAAGCGUUAAUCGGAAUUACUGGGCGUAAAGCGCACGCAGGCGGUCUGUCAAGUCGGAUGUGAAAUCCCCGGGCUCAACCUGAGAACUGCAUUCGAAACUGGCAGGCUAGAGUCUUGUAGAGGGGGGUAGAAUUCCAGGUGUAGCGGUGAAAUGCGUAGAGAUCUGGAGGAAUACCGGUGGCGAAGGCGGCCCCCUGGACAAAGACUGACGCUCAGGUGCGAAAGCGUGGGGAGCAAACAGGAUUAGAUACCCCAGUAGUC
rnacentral:rRNA from 1 species